UCGUCUGCAACAUUUCUGGAGAAACAUAAUACAGUGGUCAUUUUGAAGGUUUUCCUAAUUAUUGUGUAUAAAAUUAGUAUCAGUCUAUAAAACUAUUUCUCUUUUCUUGUUUUAGUGAUGAUCGCAGUGUCUCUUCAGAAGAAAAAGAUUGCCCUAGUUCCAACCUAGAUACGUCAAAGGACUCUAAAUCAGAAGCCUCAGCCCCCUUCGUGGUGGACUUGGGAAGUGACUAACAGGAGAAAUCAGAGAGGACAGCAGCUCCGAGAGCAGUUCUGAAAGUGACUCCGAUAAUGAGGAGCCAAAAACAAGUAAGUACAUCCUUCCUCUGAAUUUUCACGUUUGUUGUUGAAAGGAAGACAAAGAAGGUUAGCCCUCGGGGUUUUUAAGCGGCAAAUGGUUUGUUCAUGAUCUUCUUCUGUGCAAAACUGAGUUAGACAUGAAGCACCUUCUAAGCAUUUUGAACACGGGAGCUCGUGUUCUCUGCACGGGCACCGAUUGGGGUUCUGCUCUCACGGUUUCCCCGAGGAGAGAAGAAUCAGGCCGAACCCCAUAUGCAGUGUGGCCACAGCGGUGCCGGCUUCCUUCCUGGUGGUCUCUGCUCAGGGAUGAUCGCAGGGUAAACACGCUGCUGCCGAAAGCGGGGCGCCCCUUGUGGUCUGCAGUUCCUGGCUUGCUGUUCUGGCGCUUUGUGAGCAACUUGAGUCUGAAACCACUUUUAAGGACAUAGAUUCU